GACGAACGCUGGCGGCGUGCUUAACACAUGCAAGUCGAACGAGAGACGGUGAAAAGCUUGCUUUUAAUCGAAUCGAGUGGCAAACGGGUGAGUAACGCGUAAACAACCUGCCCCUGGGAUGGGGACAACAGCUGGAAACGGCUGCUAAUACCGAAUGAGCUCCACAUGCCGCAUGGCAGGUGGAGGAAAGGGUGGCCUCUGGAACAAGCUACCGCCGAGGGAGGGGUUUGCGUCUGAUUAGCUGGUUGGUGAGGUAAGGGCUCACCAAGGCGAUGAUCAGUAGCCGGUCUGAGAGGAUGAACGGCCACAUUGGAACUGAGAGACGGUCCAGACUCCUACGGGAGGCAGCAGUGGGGAAUCUUCCGCAAUGGGCGAAAGCCUGACGGAGCAACGCCGCGUGAGUGAAGACGGCCUUCGGGUUGUAAAGCUCUGUUACACGGGACGAACGGGUUUUGUGCGAACAGCAUAAGACCGUGACGGUACCGUAGAAGAAAGCCACGGCUAA
rnacentral:rRNA from 1 species